UAAUAUUAAACUUUAAUGAACUUGUAUGUCUCUUUGGUUUGGACAGUCGUUCAACUUAUAUGUAAUCGAUGCUAUUUAUUAGUAGGACCAUGAAUCGUGUUGUUAUAGUUGUAAUAUUAAACUUUAAUGAACUUGUAUGUCUCUGUGAAUUUCUACUAACGUUUUGUUUGGCUAGUGCAUAGAGAUGCCGUCGUAUGUCGUGUACAAGGGUAAGGUUCCCGGAGUCUACGACGACUGGGAGGAGUGUCG
rnacentral:lncRNA from 1 species